UACGUAGGGGGCAAGCGUUGUCCGGAAUCAUUGGGCGUAAAGAGCGUGUAGGCGGCUUGGUAAGUCCGCUGUGAAAGUCCAGGGCUUAACCCUGGAAAGCCAGUGGAAACUGUCAAGCUAGAGUCCGGAAGAGGUGAGUGGAACUCCUGGUGUAGCGGUGAAAUGCGCAGAUAUCAGGAAGAACACCCGUGGCUAAGGCGGUUCUCUAGUACGGUACUGACGCUGAGACGCGAAAGCGUGGGGAGCGAACAGG
rnacentral:rRNA from 1 species